rnacentral:rRNA from 1 species
GGGGAAUAUUGGACAAUGGGCGAAAGCCUGAUCCAGCCAUGCCGCGUGUGUGAAGAAGGCCCUCGGGUCGUAAAGCACUUUAAGUUGGGAGGAAGGACUUACAGCGAAUACCUGUGAGUUUUGACGUUACCGACAGAGUAAGCACCGGCUAACUUCGUGCCAGCAGCCGCGGUAAUACGAAGGGUGCAAGCGUUAAUCGGAAUUACUGGGCGUAAAGCGCGCGUAGGUGGCUUGAUAAGUUGGAUGUGAAAUCCCCGGGCUCAACCUGGGAACUGCAUCCAAAACUGUCUGGCUAGAGUGCGGUAGAGGGUAGUGGAAUUUCCAGUGUAGCGGUGAAAUGCGUAGAUAUUGGAAGGAACACCAGUGGCGAAGGCGACUACCUGGACUGACACUGACACUGAGGUGCGAAAGCGUGGGGGGCAAAC